UACGUAGGGAGCAAGCGUUGUCCGGAAUCAUUGGGCGUAAAGCGCGCGUAGGUGGCCUCAUAAGUCCGCUGUGAAAGUCAAAGGCUCAACCUUUGAAAGCCGGUGGAUACUGUGGGGCUAGAGUACGGAAGAGGCGAGUGGAAUUCCGGGUGUAGCGGUGGAACGCGUAGAGAUCCGGAGGAAGACCGGUGGCGAAGGCGGUCUGCUGGGUAGUUUCUGACACUGAGGCGCGACAGCGUGGGGAGCAAACAGG
rnacentral:rRNA from 1 species